GCUUAUUUUGUGUGAUAGGAACUUGAGCUUUCAUACCUAGGUUUUAUUUUCAUUAGGAUUAGGUCAUUAGGAGUUAUAAAAGGAAAAGUGUGAGAGCCUUGGAGACUCAUUGUGGUCGCCGAAGCUUUGAGAGAGAGAGAGGGAGAGGGAGAGCACGAAAUGAGAGGAAAGAAGAGAAAAAGAAGGAGAAGAGGAAGAGGUUUCGAAAGCCCUAGGGUGCCCAAAGAUUGAUUUGCUUUUGUGUUCUUAAAAUACUACCAAGGAGGUAGACGCUAGGUAGACUUAUUUGGCACGCAUGGUGAACUGAGUGAAAUUUCCAUAAGUAUGUAUGUAUGCAGCGGGGAACUAGUGAACAAGAAAACGGUCUAGAACGCCAUAGUUCCUUAGAGUCUUUCUUAUAUUAAUUUAUCAGUGGGAUGUAUCUAUUUAUUUUAAGACUGCAUCAAAUUCUCUUUUGGUUUUGAACAUUGGAUCCAAACUCUGCAUUUAUUUUCAAUAAGGCCCCACAAUGUUUUCAAACAAAA